GACGAACGCUGGCGGCGUGCUUAACACAUGCAAGUCGAACGGAAAGGCCCUGCUUUUGUGGGGUGCUCGAGUGGCGAACGGGUGAGUAACACGUGAGUAACCUGCCCUUGACUUUGGGAUAACUUCAGGAAACUGGGGCUACUACCGGAUAGGAGCUCCUGCUGCAUGGUGGGGGUUGGAAAGUUUCGGCGGUUGGGGAUGGACUCGCGGCUUAUCAGCUUGUUGGUGGGGUAGUGGCUUACCAAGGCUUUGACGGGUAGCCGGCCUGAGAGGGUGACCGGCCACAUUGGGACUGAGAGACGGCGCAGACUGCUACGGGAGGCAGAAGUGGGGAAUAUUGCACAAUGGGCGGAAGCCUGAGGCAGCAACGCCGCGUGCGGGAUGACGGCCUUCGGGUUGUAAACCGCUUUCGCCUGUGACGAAGCGUGAGUGACGGUAAUGGGUAAAGAAGCACCGGCUAACUACGUG
rnacentral:rRNA from 1 species